GAACUUUGCACCUGUUUGGUUUUAUAAACAUAAGAUGGCUCCAAGGCCUGGUCCAGGGGCCCCCACCCCCCCAGGACCUUCAUGCAGAAGGAAGAAGACAUCACGAGGAGGCUGUUGGAACCCCGGCCCAGGCUGCCUCUGAGCCCUGGGGGCUGGGCAGGAGCUGUUCACAGUACAGUGUAAUAAACCCCAUCUUUUGUAAUCCGCGGAGUUGAGGUCCUCAGCGUGCAGUUCUGAGAGCGGCAGAUCUGGGUGAGUGGCGUGGGAACCAGCAUCAGCCUCUACCUGGCACCAAACCCGAGUCAUAAAUAUCAGGUGACUUCAUAAAUGAACAAAUGGUGAGAAAGAAUGAAUACGUGGACACCUGGGCUGCCGAAUGGUCUGGAAUCUAGCCCCUCGGGGGGGGAGGAGGAAGUGUGCUGCAUGUCUCAUCUGGAGAAGAGGAGACUUCAGAUCUGGCAGCGGAUGGAUGGAUUCCGAUCUCAGCUCUGUCCCUUACUGGCUAUGCAACUCUGGGGAAGUUACUGGCCCUCCCCGAGCCUCAGUUUCUCCAUCUGUAAACUAGAUGUCUCACAGAGCCAUCCUGAGAAUUAGAUGAGUCCAUCUGGACUCAGUGAAGCUCUGCUCUUGGUAGUGAAGUAACAGGUAAUUUUGAUUUUAUUUUUGAUACUUAAUCUCUAAGUCUUCUAUAACCAGCAGGUUUAUAUUAAAUCCGAUAGAAAUGGUUAUUAAAAACACAGUAGCAUACAUUUUUGAAUCUUUGCAAGUCAAGGUAGCAUUCAAGACUCCUGCCCUAGACGAGACCCUUUAGAUGAACUAACUGCCAGCACCAGGGCUUGCUUGCUGCAGGAGUGGGGGCACUGAAUUGUGCUAGUGUGUGUAAGGUGGUGAGUUCCCUGUGUUCGGAGGUGUGCAAGCAGGGGCUGGCACCAAAGAAGAGUUAAAUUUAGUUAAUAAAGGGGUUCCCUGCCAGGGGUGGGUUGCAGCAUUCAAGGACUUUCUUAUUGUGGCCCUCUCUGAGGGACCCCUGAAGCCACAGUGCUGGAAAGCCAGGGGGUGCCAUGAGCCCUGGGGGCUGAGGGAAGGGAAGGCAGGCCCAGGAGCCCAGCUGGGAGUAAUAAAUAUGGGCACCGAACAUUUGCCCUUUUGCCACGCCUACACUAACGAUGCUGGUGAGGUGGGGUUUGCUGUCACAGCAAGGAGACCCAUGUCCCCUCCUGGGCUCCGCGGGGUGGGGGAGGGAGGAUGAGGUAGGGGAGACCCAGCUAUGGGAACCCCCCACCCCAUGGGUCUUUCCCCACAAGGGGCUGCAGGAGGAAGACCAUCUCCUGCCAGGGGUCUUUCUGUUUUCUCUCCCAAACAGGAAGUUGGCUUAGAAGAAGCUGAAAGUGCUGUCCUUUGACCCCUGGGGAGCCAGGAGCCAAGCCCUCCCUGACAGCCGCACCGAGAGCCACCUCUCCAGGCCCUUAGGCAGACCUGCCAUUCCCAGACACAGAGCAGACCCGUCGGCAGGCUCCCCUAGACUCGCUGGCACCUCCGGCGAGAUAGUGUCGAGCAGGGGCCCCAUGACAGCCCCUGUCUCUGGCCGGGGCCGCUCCUGAGAAUGUCGGUGGAGAGAGAGGGCCCAGCCUCCCACCUCCAUUAUACAAGGGAAAACCGAAGUCUCAGGAGGGCAGGCCCAGGGCUGGGAGGCUGGCUGGGCCUGGGACGCGGCUACCUCCCUUUCAUCCCAGUGGUCGUGGUGGUGACAUCUGCCAACAGAAGCAUCGGCUUUGGCUCACGUGAUGCUUUAAAAACUAUGUUUAAUGCAUUGCUAAGAUUAGUAAUGGGGUUUUCUCAUUAAAAAAAAAAUGUU